rnacentral:rRNA from 1 species
ACGAACGCUGGCGGCGUGCUUAACACAUGCAAGUCGAACGGAAAGGCCCUGCUUGCAGGGUACUCGAGUGGCGAACGGGUGAGUAACACGUGGGUGAUCUGCCCUGCACUUCGGGAUAAGCCUGGGAAACUGGGUCUAAUACCGGAUAGGAGCCAUUUUUAGUGUGAUGGUUGGAAAGUUUUUUCGGUGUAGGAUGAGCUCGCGGCCUAUCAGCUUGUUGGUGGGGUAAUGGCCUACCAAGGCGGCGACGGGUAGCCGGCCUGAGAGGGUGGACGGCCACAUUGGGACUGAGAUACGGCCCAGACCCCUACGGGAGGCAGCAGUGGGGAAUAUUGCACAAUGGGCGCAAGCCUGAUGCAGCGACGCCGCGUGGGGGAUGACGGCCUUCGGGUUGUAAACCCCUUUCGCUAGGGACGAAGCUUUUUGUGACGGUACCUAGAUAAGAAGCACCGGCUAACUACGUG